CUUGCAUUUCCUUAUAUCCUUUUUACAUCAUUAAAUGGGAUCUCUUGUUCAAAAAGUUGCCCAAUAAUUAUAGACAAAGACAAUUUAGUAAAUGUCUCAGUUUAAAAGUGAAGCGAUUUCCUAAUUUUUCUGUUGUAAAUAGCAGCCGAACAGUGAAUCCAAUUUUGUCAUAAUCAGUUAUAGAUAAAGAACAGCUAAUACAAGAUAUUGUAAAUGAAUUUAAGAAGAAAAAGCCAUUGCUUUUAACACUAUCCAUUCUAAACAGACAACUUUUUAAUAAUGAGAUUUAUAGUGUUUUUCCAAAAAGAGUUACAUUUGCUCCUGGAUUAAUGCUGGAAGAAGCAAUUCGUUUUUACCAUAGUUUUAAAGACUCGGAUCUUAAGAUUCAAAAGAUAUUUGGAUUUCUCCUGAGUCUCAAAACCACACUGAAAAUUUAAUGCUGCUGCAGAAAUCACUCAUUUCUAAGAAGACAACGGAAAAAUUGUUUAUGAAAGUUAAUGGAAAGAAAAUUGUUCUCGCUUGUAAUAUUGCUGACAUUUUAACUAAUGUGAUUUACUACAUGAAUAGUUAUGCCAAAGCUUAUAUAGUCCACAAGUUAUCUUUAAUAAAACAGAAUAUGAUGCAAGAAGUUGAAGAGGUGUCGAAAUGGAUGUUUAGCCCUUGGUCAGUACAUAUAGUGGUUGUUUUGACGGUUGUUUACUAUUUGCUAGAUUUGACAUAUUCUUGUUUUGGGCGGCUUCUGGGAUAUUAGCAAGAUAUUUGAGGCUUCUUGCAAUUGGCUUUAUUGUCUAAAAAAUGCAUUUUUUUUCUGCAAUCUUU
rnacentral:lncRNA from 1 species